rnacentral:lncRNA from 13 species
GAAAAUGAGGUAGAUAAAGAUACAGUAUAAAAGCAGGGUAUAAGGAGAUACAACACAGUUAUUGAGGUGAGAAUCUCCACAGGUCGAUAUGAAUGAACUUCCAUACUCAAGUCAGGCAGUACAACAGAAUAUUCACAGGAUUUUUGAGAAUGACUUGAUCUUAGUAAUUGAAAGAGACAAUGUGAAAGGGGUUCACCAACACAUUCUUUCACAACCGUGACCUUAUAGAGAGCUUCACCAACCAGGAAUAGACAAUGAACUGGGCAAUCAGUUAGCAUCCGAAUGUGGACAAUGCCGGGACAGUAUUGAAUAUGGGCUCGUAAAUUCGACCAGCCGUCUUACAAUUACUCAAUGACUUCCACCACGUCACACACAACGCCACUUUCAGAGGAAUUUGUGAAUGCAAUAGGUUAUGUACUUGAAUGCCCAUGUUGCCUGACCAAGUGGAUUCCUCGAGGAUGUGAUGGAGAAAAAAAACGUCCAUUGUCCUCUUCUCUUGACAGUAGUGAUAUGAGGCCAACAGGCCAAAAAUAGCUCACAGCCAAAGGAGUGAGUCCCACUUCUCUCUCUCGCGCAGUCCUCCGUCCUCAGUCCCGGAAGGUAAAGUCUAUUAGAGUUGUUUUCAUUCUUUCUCUGAUCCAGGUCGGGAUGUAUUGUGAAGUCAGUCCUCCGUCCUCAGUCCCGGAAGGGUUGAUGUGCCUUGCCUCCUUCACUGUGGCUCUGAUCUUUACCAUGGGCUCAGGAAACUACUGUCUGGAGAUCUUCAACAGCUAUGUAGGAUCCCUGCCUCUACUCAUCAUAGUCUUCUUUGAGAUCAUCGCUGUGGUUUACANNNNNNNNNNACAAAAUAGUAUAAAAUCUUUGUUUUUCUUUCUUCAACUCAUCUGAGAAUGUUUCUUUGUUCUCAGGUUCAGUGAUGACAUGGAGUGGAGGACGGGGCGAAGGCCCAACAUUUUCAGGCCAUGUGCAGAGUGAUCAGCCUUCUGAUGCUGCUGAUGGUCUUCCUGGCUUACGUGGUUGUCCAGGCUGAAACUCAACCCACUUACGCUGCAUGGAACCCUGACUAUGUAAGAGACAUCUUUUGUUGCAUGUUGAUGCAUGUUGCAAUGUUGCAUCACUUCAUNNNNNNNNNNGGAGAAAAAAAACGUCCAUUGUCCUCUUCUCUUGACAGUAGUGAUAUGAGGCCAACAGGCCAAAAAUAGCUCACAGCCAAAGGAGUGAGUCCCACUUCUCUCUCUCGCGCAGUCCUCCGUCCUCAGUCCCGGAAGGUAAAGUCUAUUAGAGUUGUUUUCAUUCUUUCUCUGAUCCAGGUCGGGAUGUAUUGUGAAGUCAGUCCUCCGUCCUCAGUCCCGGAAGGUAAAGUCUAUUAGAGUUGUUUUCAUUCUUUCUCUGAUCCAGGUCGGGAUGUAUUGUGAAGUCAGUCCUCCGUCCUCAGUCCCGGAAGGUAAAGUCUAUUAGAGUUGUUUUCAUUCUUUCUCUGAUCCAGGUCGGGAUGUAUUGUGAAGUCAGUCCGUUGGUCUUGAAUGAGAAACAGUGUGCUUCGCAGGAUGCCCUCGGGGAUGAUUGCUUCCAUCUGCGUAGGAUACUUUUUCAUUGAUCGGUAUUUGGUUUCCAAGGAGAUGGGAUCAUUCGUCCAAUGGGCCGCACCUCGCAGAAACGUGGUCUUGUCGUCUGUUAGUAAGUCCUAUAAUUUAUAGGGAUACUCACAGAGUGCGUGCUUAUGAUAGGCAUCAUGGGACCGCCCUGUGUAUUCUAAGGAUUCAGCAUAUCCCUGUUCUCUGUGAAAAACCUGACAUCUCCUCAUAAGUGCCCACAGCAUGUUCCUACUGCACAAAACACAGUUCACCAAUCUCUAGGAUAACUGCAUUAUUCAAGAUGGUGGGAGUAUUGAUAGGGGAGUUCUAGAUGCAACAUGCCAUUGAUUACUAUGACAAAAUGAUAACCAUUGUCAUGUAUUUAUUAUACCACAGAGCCUGGCCCAGUUGCAACUUCUACUGGCAGAUAAAAAAUAAUAUGUUUUAUUGUCACAUACACCGGAUAGGUUCAAUGAAUGUCUUGUUUUACAGGGUCAACCAUAGUAGUAAGGCACCCCUGGACUAAAUUCAGUUCUAGUGCCUUGCUCAAGGGCACAACGACAGAGUUUUCAUCUUGGGUAUUCGAACCAGAGACCUUUCAGUUACUGAUGCAACGCUCUAACUGCUAGACUACCGGCCGCCUUCAUGGAGGCUGAUCAGUCCCUUCACGUUCGUAAUUGUUGUCUUCUACUUCGAUGACACAGUCCCUGAGGUAUCCUGAAUUUGUAAUAUUCCCUCUAAACAUAAUAAGCAGUUAAACUACAGGGUUUUGAGAUGUAGAAACUGAUUGAAAACACAUUAAGAUAUUGAUGUCACAAUCGACAAUACCAGAUUACAUUCACAGGUUAUGUUAGAUACACAAGUCAGUGCAUUGCUCCAGUUCAUGUUGAUAGACUAGCUCAUACUGAGACUUUCUUUGUAGGAAAACUGUACCUAUUAAUGAUUUUUAUUUUGUUUCCCUUUCGGGAAAUUUGUCUUGCAAAUUUGGAGUUGAAGCCAUAUCCAGACUGGAUCUACAGUGAUCUACAGUCAGUGGUGUAGAGAGGAGUAGGCAGGAGGCAGUCACAGGUUUAGAACUACUGGUCCUUAGUUUAAGGACCAUAGAUCAAAGCAGGACGAAACCCAAACGCUGUUGUGCUCAAAAUCUAUCUUCAUAAACAAAAAGGCACAGGGCGAACCCAAAGUGCAACAUAUAAAGUACUCAGGAAAUAGUAGGAGAAAUUCCU